rnacentral:miRNA from 1 species
AUUCCGGCAGCUUAGUACAGCU